GCCGUAUGGUGUCCCGUUUUGGGAAGCUGUCAAAAAUCAUAAAAUCACGUGAGUAUAAUAUAUGAUUAAUCCAUUCUUUUCUUCCGAUCUAUUUUAUUUUUUGUUUAUUUAUUUUGAGAGAGAGAGAGACAGAAAGAAAGCACGGGGGGGGGGGAGGGGCAGAGAGAAGGAGAGACAGAAUCCCCAGCAGGCUCCACACCAUCAGCCCAGAGCCUGAUGUGGGGCUCGAACUCACGCACUGUGAGAUCACGACCUGAGCUGAGAUCAAGAAUCAGGUGCUGAACUGACAGAGCCACCUAGGCGCCCCUCUUCUAAUCUGUGUUAAACGAGCAAAAUAAACAGCUAUGUCUGUUUGUUUGGGGGGAAAACCCAGUUAUAGUUGAUAGCUUACUGGAUUUGGCUUCUAGUUAUGUUCAUGUAACAUAGCUCUCGCGGCUGUGGCUGAAUUACAUGAGGAGACUCCUACCCCACAAAUCUUUUAUCUAAUAGUCUAUUGGUGAUCUUUUGUAAUAAUACUGUCCUGUCAAUGAUAUUGUAUUUAGGGAAGAGUUUAAAAGGAAGGUGCUAAGCAGCUUGCAAUAAUAUUAGCAUCUUGUGUUUAUCAGGCGAUCAUUCACUGAUUUUUAACAGAUUAGAACACUAGACUAGAGGUUUGGGGGAAAAUAUCCUCUUUGUACUGAACCUAACUUGUUUUAAAUUGUCUCCAGGAAGAGAGAAGCUUAAAGUCAGACUUUUUUUUUUUUUCCAUCUCUCACAGUCCAUUUAAUUUUGAAGCACUUCCCAAGGAAUUUAUAUUAGCUGAUUAUUUUUUAAUAUGAAAAAACUAAACAUAACAUCUAAAAUGUUAGACUUACAUCACAUUGACCCAAAUUGUCCCUUUGCACUUGGCCAUUUCUCAGUGUAAGAAGAAGCUGUCCUUGGAGUGAGAACAAGGGGACGUUCUGGCUCAGAAACCGUAGAAUCACAGAUACUCCUUUUCUAAAGAUUUUGUUCCUUUUUCUCUUGUCUAGCAAUACCAAUGCUGGACAGGGGCCUUUCAACCCAUCCAAGUUUAUGUUUGAAUGUUAUUGAAUCCUGCAGAAGAUGCACAUUUUGGUGUUUUUCUUCUUGAUUAUAGAUGGUUUUGUCUUAACCGUAGAAACAGUCAAAUGUUUUAAAGUGAGACACUUUCUGGAUUACCCUCUUAGUUCUAGAGCGUUUACUUUUGUCUAUUCAUGAUAUAAAUGUGACCAUGCACUUUCCCUUUUUUACUAAUUUAUGGCUGAGUGUGCAGUAAAACAUGACAAUGGAAAAAUUCCAUUUCUUAUAGGUCAUUUAUUAGUAUGCCACUUUAUGGCUUGGAGACAUCUGGGCACAGAUAUAUAUCCAAUAAACUUUGUGGGUUACUAUAAAACAUCCAUGUUGAUAAGAGCCGAGAUUCAUUCACGAAGAGUCCCACAGCACAGUGGACGUCUCCUCUGAGCUUUCAACUGUAGCAGCCAUUUGGAAAAUUGCACGGGAAAAGAUUUCUUUACAACGUCCAUUUUUUCCUUUCUGUAGUUAGGGAUACUCCUCCCCCUUCUUAGAUUUUACCCUAAAAGAAAAAAAAAAAGUAUAUGUGCUAUAUACUGCAGAUAUGCAGACCAUGAAGAAUGAGCAGGUUUUUUUUUUUAAUGUUUAUUUUUGGGGUGGUGGGGCAGAGAGAGAGAGAGAGGGAGGGAGUCUCAAGUAAGCUCUGCGUGUCAGCACAGAACCCCAUGUGGGGCUCGAACUCAGGAACUGUGAGAUCAUGACCUGUGCCGAAAUCAGGAGUCGGAUGCUUAUCUGACGGAGCCACCCAGGUGCCCCGUGAACAGACUGGUUUUAACUGAUCAUUUUCUUGUUUCAGUGUCAGGGCCAUGGCUUAACUGCCUUCAUAGCACGUAUAGUUGUUUAUAUUUAAAUUGAACCACUUUUCAUUUACCUAAUUCUCCCUUAACAAACAUUUGAUGUGAUUGGUGAUCAUUGUAUUUCUUGUUCUAGUCCACUUCUGGAACUUACGACUAUCAGAAACUUUUCAGUGUCCCGUACGUACGUUAAUUGAAUAUGUGGAUGUUUGCAAGACAAUGCUUUUCGGGUUUCUUUUGAACAUGAACCUGACUUUAUCUUCAAAUUUUAACAUUUCGUUUCCCCCCCAAGCAAAUGCUGUAUUUCCCAUCAGCUGGCCAGUAGGGUGUGCUCUAGUCCCUUGCCAGAUAAAUAAAUAAAUUAAUAAAUAAAUUGAUUAAAAAGAAAUUAAUUAAAAAUAUGAAUGUCACCUCUUCACCAAGAGAUUACAGAAAUAUACCUCACUCUUUCGUUGCCACCCACAGAGAUGAAGUAUUCUGCCCACAGACACAGUGAAUCGUUCAGCAAACACAGUACCUGUGGGGAGCAAAACUGUCGCAUUGAAAAAAGAAACUUUGGAGAGGUGGACCCCUUAGGAGUUAGUUCUGAAACAACUUGCUAUAAUUUUACCAAAUGGAUCCCUUGGUCACAGAUAGUUUCUUUUAUGCUGUGUAAAAUGAGAAUAAAAAAAUCUGGUGCAGUGAUGAAGAACGCAGACCCUGGGGUUUACAUCCUGACUGUCUCACCAGUGACUCAAGUACUCACUUGGCCUUUUGUAAGAUGGUGAUAAUAGUGGUUCCUACUCUGCAGGGUUCCUGGCCAGAUAAAUGAGAUCGUAUUUGGGAAGUGCUUAGAACGUGGUCUGGCCCCAGUCGGGGUUCAGUAACAGUAACUGUCCUUUUUUUUUUUUUAAAUCAUUGCUAUUCUCACUGUUAUUGCUGUAAAUUCGUUGAGGGAUUUUCUGACACCUUUCUUUGCAAGAUUCCCAAAUUCUCUAUCGCUUAUUAGCAUACAUGAUUUGAUUUGUCUGGGAGGUGCUUUCAUUUGUUAAAUUUCAGGAGCAUAAACGAUUUCUAAGAUAAACUGUCUCACUUUAACUGUAGUAUUUCCACUUAAGAGGCUAUAAAGCCUUAAGCCAAAGACGAGGGUCUGCCAUAGGGAAAUAUCAAGCACCAGCAAUCCUUGGGGAGAUACCCGACGGAUGGGAGACUCUCAGCAUCUCUGAAGGGAAGAUAACAAGCGGCCACAAAUCUAUGAGCACCUUCCUGUAAACUCAUAUUCAGAAACACCCACAGGCAUUUGUCCUUUUAAGAAAUAGGCUUAGUUUGUACAUAAAGUACCUGCAGAACUUUUAAAUACAGGCAACAUUACCAUUUUCUCUGCAAGGCAAGGGCAAGGAGAUAUUACUCAGUGACUAGGUACAGUAGCAUUGUAAGAAGUCAAUGAAUCCCAACACUUCUUGGGGCUACACCUUUAUUCAUUCAUACAUGUAUUCAUUCAUUAAUAAAUAUCUAUUGAACUCCUACUAUGUGCCAGUCCAUACCAGGUUCGGGGUAGUGAGCAAGAGAAACAUUCAGAGAACGUUCAGUGGUAGGAUUAUAGACAAACAUAUGGGAAACUUAAUUUAUAUAAAGUGCAAAAAAGUCUUCAUAACAAGACUAGAUUCUGUCUUCUUAAAUCUUUGAGAAUCAAAGACUCUUUGAACCAGUAUUUUUUUUAAAGUUUAUUUAUUUUGAGAGAGAGAGAAAACAAGGGGGGAGGAGCAGAGAGAGAGGGAGGCAGAAAUCUGAAGCGAGCACUGUGCUGACCGCAGAGGGCCCAAUGUGGGGCUCAAACUCAGGAACAAUGAGACCAUAACCUGAGCUGAAGUUGGAGGCACUUAACCAACUGAAGCACCCAGGCGCCCCUGAGCCAGUAUUUUCACUAGUGACACAUUGAGGAAAUAAUCAUAAAUAGAGAAAGCUUUCUGCUCAAAGUUGCUCAAUGCAGUGUUGUUCAUAAUAGUGAAAACCUGGCCUGUUAGUAGGACAGUUGGCAUGUAAAAUAUCGAAUAUCUAUUCAGCUAUUAAAAUCCUUAUGAAGAUUUUGUAAUUAGGAAUAAUAACUAAUAAUAGCUAACACUUUUAUAGCAUUUGCUAGGAACUGGGCUCCGUUCUAGGGCUUUACCUAUAAGAGUUAAUUAAACGUUCACACAAUCCUGUGAAGUCCAUGUUGUUACUAUGCCUGGUUUAUGAACAAGGUGAAGUAAUACGCCCAAGGUUACAAAGCUGGUAACUGUGGGUUUAAACCGAGGCGGUUGCUUUCAACCACUGCAAAUUCUUCCAUUAUAAUGCUUGGUGUAAAAAGUAGAAUGUGAAAUCGAAUAUGUAGAAUAUCUAUCCUCAUGUUAUCAGCACCUUUUUACUGUGCUAGACAGAAAAAAAUCCAACUCGGGCUCCUGGGUGGCUCAGUCGGUUAAACGUUGGACUUCGGCACAGGUCAUGAUCUCAUGAUUUGUGAGUUCAAGCCCCGCAUUGGGCUGUGUGCUGACAGCUCAGAGCCUGGAGCCUGCUUCAGAUUCUGUUUCCCUCUCUCUCUGCCCCUCCCCCGCUCUCUCAGUCUCUCUCUCUCUCUCUCUCUCUCUCUCUCUCAAAAAGAAACAUUGAAAAAAGAAAGAAAGAAAAAUCCAACUCAAGUUCAUUAAAAUAAAAAGGAAUUCACUGCUUCAGUUCUGGACAAGUCUCAGUGGCUGCAUGCACUGCUUUAUUUAGGUGCUCAAAUAACGUCACCCACGUCUGGGCUUUCCCUAACUUUUGGUUUUGUCCUAUUUUGUAGUGACUUCAUCUUGAGGUUCUUCGGUGGCAUGAUGGCUGCCCGCAGCUCUGAGGUAAGAUGGCUGCCAGCAAACCCUGGGCCAUUUAAUUAAAAAAAAAAAAAGCUUAUUUAAUGGUUUGAACAAAAACCAAAACCUGGGCCUGCUUCUCACUAGUUCAAAUGGAGAGACAGGGAACGAAUGCUCUGAUUGGCCAAGCCUGGGUGCAAGGCCACCCUUGGAACCAUGGGUAGAAUUAGCUCCACCUGAAGCACAUCAACUAAAUGCAGAGAAGGGGUGGUGAUCUCCUACAGUCAAAUUGGACAAUGGACUAGGAGAAAAGGGAAAUGGAUGUUUUUGGUAUACAUCAAGUAUCCACAACAAUUUCAUUAUCUAUAGGAUAAGCAUUUGACCCCGUAACUUGCACCUUGAAGCUUUCUGUUCUUUGACCUUGAUGACACUACGCUAUCAUACCUUUUUGGUGUCUCUUCUGAGUCCUCCUUAGUCUUCUAGUCUUCUUUUUCUAGGAUGCUUAGCUGUAGGCAUCCUCUGGAGCUAUUUUUAUCUGUUUCUAAGCCAUCACAUUCAAUUCCUAAACUUUUAUUAUCACCUCUAUAUGAAUUGUGCCCAAAUCUAAUUAUAGCCAUAUCUUCUUUCCUGACUUUUAUUCCAUGCUUUCAGUUUCUUACCAGUACUCCCCCACCCCCCUUGGAUAUUUGUUGCAGAUUGGCUUCCUUGGGCAACAGGCUUUGGGAUGAAGGAUAAUUUAUUAGAGUAUACUCUUGGAAUCUAUUGAAGGGAAGAGGAAGGAGCAGAUUUGGGCAGAAAGAGAAGCUGAGCUGUGGUACAGAUCCAAGAUAGGCCUUAGCUGAUCCUAUGGAAAGAUUUGGAGCUGGAUUGGUCCUCUAGAGUUGUCCCAACUUAGGCAAGGGAGCUGGAUCUUUAUUCCUUCCACCCCCACUGGCCAGUCAUUGGAUGUGGGUUGCCCUUGGGAGGAAGAGCAAUAUUGGGCAAAGCCAUUUUAUUUAGCUGAGACACUCUUUAAAGAGGGUUGACAGGUAAGGACUAUUUUCUGGCAGCAAUCAUAGAAGUAUGGGGUUUAAUCCCAGAAGUAAGACUUCAGCCCUCCAGGGGGAUCUGGGUAGCUCAUCAUCGUAGCUUCCAUUUAUUUUAUUUAUUCUCCCUGGCUGUUGGUCUACUCUCCCUCACUCUAUUCUGGUAAUAUUGUUGACAUUUUUACUUAGAUAUUUUGAGGCUAUGUUAUUAGGUGCAUACAAGUUUAGAAUUGUUAAACCUGUGUGGUAAAUUGAACAUUCUGUUAAUGUAUAAUGAGCUUCUACUAGUAAUAACUUUUGCUUUAAAGUUUGUUUUGUUUGGUAUUGCUAUAGUCACACUGGAUUUCAUUUAGUUUGUAUUUUGGUGAAUCUUUUUCCAAAAUGUUCUUUUUAAUCUUUGAGUUUCCUUAAGUGUUAGCUGUGUCUUAUAAAAAGCACAGAGGUUUUUUUUUUUUUUUAAUUUGUCUUCUAAGUAGAGAGUUAUUUCACUUGGAUCUAUUGUGAUUACUGAUAUACUUACUGACAAUUAUAACUUAUUUUUAUCAUGUAAGUUUGUACCUUCUAUUUGUCUCGCUGUAAGAAGUUUCUUUUUUCUUCUUUCUUGCUUUUUGGAUAGUCAUUACAUUUUUUUUUCAUCCCAUCCCUCAAUUCAAAAAUUAUACUCUCUAGUUCUCUUUUUAAAUGGCUAUCUAGAAAUUGCAAGAUGCAUGCUUAACAUAGUAAAGUCUAAAGCUAAUAUCUUUACCUUUCUGAAAAAUACAAGGAAUGAUUAAGAACAUGUUAACUCACGUCACUGCCUUCCAAUUUUUAUUUUCUUAUUUGGAAUUCUAAUCUCUCUUUCUUUAGCACCACUAAUUGGAAGUUGUUAUUAUUAUUACUAUUAUUUAUAUAGUCAAUAUAGUUGACCCUUGAAAAACACAGUUUUGAAAAUAUAAGCAUGCAGUUUCAUGGAUUUUUUUGGAUGAAUACAGUACAGUACUAUAAAUGUAUUUUCUCUUCCUUAUGAUUUUCUUAAUAGCAUUUGCUUUUCUCUAGCUUUCUUUAUUGUAAGAAUAUAGUGGUGCCUGGGCAGCUCAGUCAGUUAAGCAUCUGACUCUUGACUUUGGCUCGGGUCAUGAUCUCGUGGUUGUGAGACGGAACCCCGCAUCAAGCUCUGCACUGUCAGUGCUUGGGGUUCUCUCUCUCUCCCUCUCCUUCUGCCCCUCCCCCACUUGUGCUCCCUCUCUCAAAAUAAAUAAAUAAACAUUAAAAGAAAGAAUACAGCACAUAAUGCCUAUAACCUACAAGACAUUUGUUAAUCGACUAUUUCCAUUGUGGGUAAGGCUUCCAGUCAACAGCAGGCUAUUAGUAGUUACAGAUUAUUACAAAUUAUUACAUUUGUUUUACUCUUUUACAUUAUUUACAUUUUUAUUUGAACCACUUACAGAUAAGUGGCAGACAUGAGGCUAUGGCAUUAAAUUUUUUUUUCACGUUUAUUUAUUUUUGAGAGAAAGAGAGACAGAGUGUGAGUGGGGAAGGGGCAGAGACAGAGGGAGACAUAGAAUCCAAAGCAGGCUCCAGGCUCUGAUCUAUUAGCACUGAGCCCGACGUGGGGCUCGAUCCCACGAACCUUGAGAUCAUGACCUGAGCCAAAGUUGGAUACUUAACUGACUGAGCCACCCAGGUGCUCCAAAGCUAUGACAUUUUAAACAAAAGCCAUAAAUAUUUUUAAAAUAGACUUUAUUUUUUUAGGGCAGUUUUAGAUUUACAGGAAAAUUGAGAAGGCAGUCCAGAGUUCCCAUAUACUCAGCACCCAGUUUCUCCCCUGGUUAACAUUACUUACAAUUAAUGAACCCAUAGUGACACAUUAUAAAUAUUUUUAAAAAUUUUUUAAAUUUAUUUUUGAGUCAGAGAAAAACAGAGCAUGAAUGGGGGAGGGUCAGAGAGCGGGAGACCCAGAAUCUGAAGCAGGCUCCAGGCUCCAAGUUGUCAGCACAGAGCCCGAUGAGGGACUUGAACUCACGGACUGUGAGAUCAUGACCUGAGCUGAGCUUAACCAACUGAGCCACCCAGGCGCCCCCCAUAGUGACACAUUAUAAUCAGCUGAACUCCAUUGUUCAUUUGGAUUUCUUUAGUUUUUACCCACAGCACCAUAUAACAUUUAGUUGUUAUGUCUCUUUUAGGCUCCUCUUGGCUGUGACAAUUUCAUACUUUCCUUGUUUUGAUCAUCUUGACAGUUCUGAGGAGGACUAGUCAGGUAUUUUGUCAAAUGUCCCUCUAUUGGAAUUUAUGUAAUGUUUUUCUCGUAACGCUUUUGGUUUAAAAGAGGACGAUCAUAGAAGUAAAGUGCCUUUUUUAUCACAUCAUAUCAAGGGUACGUGCUAUUAACAUGAUUUGUCACUGUUGAUGUUGACGUUGACCUGAGGAAUACUGAGCUAUUUAAGGCUUCUGUAAACAUUAUCAGUGGCUUUCAGGUCAGGUCAACUAUUCUGAAAAAAAUUUGGAAGUUCAAUUAUUUUUGAAUCAUCAUGAGACUUGUACAAUAGCUGGAAAAUUCAUUGCAAUUCAUGGAGCUGCCUAUGUUGGUGGGAAUUCCUAACUGUAAGGUUAAUUUUUUUUAAAUAUAUUUUUAAAAAUGUUUAUUUCUUUUAAGAGAGAGAGAGCAUGGGGGAAGGGCAGAGGGAGACAGAGAGAGAGAGAGAGAGAGAGAGAGAGAGAAUCUCAAGCAGGUUCUGUGUUGUGGGCGCAGAGCCCCAUGCGGGGCUUGAUCCUACAAACCAUGAGAUCAUGACCUGAACCAAAACAAAGAGUCAGAUGCUUAACUGACUGAGCCACCCAGGUGUCCCUAUACUAUAGGGUUAAUUUUAUACAGUGUGUUUUUGGUGAUGCUAUGAACUAGGAAUUAAUGUUAGAAUGGAAUGUCUUAACAUCAAUUCUUUUUUUUUUUUAAUGUUUUUUUUUGAGAGAGGGAGAGAGACAGAGCAUGAGUGGGGGAGGGACAGAGAGAGAGAGAGAGAGAGAGGGAGACACAGAAUCUGAAGCAGGCUCCAGGCUCCUAGCUGUCAGCACAGAGCCCGAUGUGGGGCUCGAACCCACAGACCGCGAGAUCAUGACCUGAGCCAAAGCUGGACACUCAACUGACUGAGCCACCCAGGCGCCCCUUAAGAUCAAUUGUUUAAAACAUUUAGCGUAUUUGAACAGAGAUUUUUGCAUACAUCCACUUGAAGCUAAGAGCAUCUGUAUCCAUCUGUACCCCAGAUGUAGCUUUUGAUUUUCUAGAAUUGUUUUGCAAAGGAACACAUCUUAUCUAAAAAAUGAUUUAGCUGUCUUGUUUCCACUAUUCUUGUUUCCAUUCACUGAAUAAACCUUUUGGAUGUGUGAGCAGUUACAUUUCCCACAUCCUACAUUUGAUCAUUUCUAGGAGCCAAUAAGAGAGUUCAGUGAAGUGAAUUUGAAUGAUUUAUUUGUACAGAAAGAAUGAAUUUCCUCUUAGCUGUACAUCCGACACCCACACGAUACCUCAUCUCUGAUGCUGGGAAGGAACAUUUUCGGGAGAAAUUUGAUGCCCAAUUAGUGUGUUUUAAUUUGGUCAGUGGAAUUUCCAUCUGGCUCUGAUGUGUAUUCUGGAGGACAGACUAGCAUGUAGUUAUACAGCUUAUUAGUUUGUGAGAUGGGGUCAUAGGUACAGAGGACAUUUCACCGAAGCAGGAUUUUAAAGAUUCUGAGUCCCCCCCUCUGUUUUUGUUAGCUACGGGAUGCAUGGGGACAGAGAAAGCACGUGAUACUUAUUUUGUGGUUAAACACCUUAUUAUCAACAGCUUAAAAUAAGAAAGAACAUCGCAAAUAUAGACUGCAGAUAGAGGUCUUCUCUCCUGAAGAAACGAGACAUUUACAGAUACAAUGAUAUCUCACAGAUAGGUGCUUCCUUGCUGUAGAAUUACUGGUCACAAAACUUGAGAUAAAUGUGUUUAGCAAAAAUUACAAGUAUGCUUUUAAAGUUUUAUUGUUCCAUAUAUGUAGAGGCAGGAGGAGGAGAAGGAAAAGGAGAGAGAGAGAGAGAGAGAGAGAGAGAGAAUAAACAUACUCAUCCCUCACAACUUCCGUACGUUGGGAGUAUGCACGCGCUAAUACUGAAAAGUCUAAGAUAAAACAUGCCUGUUUUAAAAGUGAAGUUUUCACUGCAGGGUUUGAUUCCUGUUAUGCUGAAAAAAACAGGAGAUUCCAGAUGUAAGGGAUCCUGGCCAAAAACCUCUACUUUCUAUUUUUUGCAAUGUAUCUUUUUAGUCCCUUUCAAGGAGGCACAUUCUCUGUUUUCUGGCCUUUGCUGUUCCAUUUUUACACACGGGAGCACGAUCUUAGCUGAUGCUGUCCAUGUCCCUUCUUCCUCUAAGAAUUACACUCCCUUCCUGGGUCCUGUCAGCUCUACAGCUUUGUCACACUGUGGAGUAAGGUCCACGCUUGCUUGUCUCUUAAUGUUGUCCCUGUCCUUUCUUUAGGCACCAAGUUCGCACGUAUUGUUUUGAUUUUCUGUCUUUCACUAAAGUGUAGUAAUAACAAUCUCAAAUGGUUGUGGGAUGUCGGGUUUGAAUGGGAAGGUCUCAGUGUGUUUCUGAUGCCAGUUCUUAAUUUCAGGUGAUUAGCAGUUCAUUAUUUUUCGGAGAGAGAGGUGACUGUGUAUCCAUAAAACUGAAAUCUUGACUUUUGCUCAUGCACAAUUCCAACUGUACUGAAUCACGACUUCUAAGAUACGAGCGAACAAAGCCCCAGGCAAAGAGGUUUACUGUGAAAACAUUCAGUCCUUCCAGGAACAGGACCAGUAAUUUCUCCAUCUGUCUGUAGAGUCUGAACCUCAGGAUGUCUGUGAACGUUUUAUUGUGUUCCACUGUACCCUCGAGUCUGUUUCCCAGCCCUGGAAAAUGCCCAUGAGAAAGGGUUGUGCAACGCUAACUGUUAGUCACUUUAUAUUUCCUGAAUAUUCCCUAUUUAAUUCCCUGGUAGCUGGCAAUAACAUCUAGGAUUUAAAUUGCUGAAGGGAAUUCGGGAAAACCCACAUAAAUGUCUAAGCUGGGGUUUGGCAGGCUCUGUGUUUUGGUGACAUAACAAUGCCAUAACGAGAGAUUUCAUCUCCCAGAAGAGGCAAGAAAUCCCUACCACCGCCAGACACCCACCGACACUCAUCUGAGUCUGAGGAUCAUCGUUUGUUAUAAAUGGAUUGGACAUAGUUUUUCAUCUGAUUCCCGGGCUGCUGGAAUAAAAAUUUGGCCCUGGAGUUUAAAUGCAACGAGAUUUCUUUAGAAAUGGGCACCUCGAAGGGUUAGGGGACUUUUUAGAAAGACAAAAGAAAAUGUAGUACGUUUUCUGUAAGAGUGGGCAACAGCUUCUCCGUGAAGAGCCCACCCCACUCCCUCCGGAUGGAGUCUGAGCUCUGCGGAGGGACAGGCUGGGCCUGACCUAACCACCAAGCCAACCCCAGCAAUCAGAUGGGUGAUGCUGUUCCCAGGCAGACUUUUCUCACACCCUAGAGGCUAAUGGACGCGAUUUUUUUUUUUUUAAUUUUUUUUUUUUCAACGUUUAUUUAUUUUUGGGACAGAGAGAGACACAGCAUGAACGGGGGAGGGGCAGAGAGAGAGGGAGACACAGAAUUGGAAACAGGCUCCAGGCUCUGAGCCAUCAGCCCAGAGCCUGACGCGGGGCUCGAACUCACGGACCGCGAGAUCGUGACCUGGCUGAAGUCGGACGCUUAACCGACUGCGCCACCCAGGCGCCCCACGGACGCGAUUUUUAAUUUAAGACAGCCUUUUACAACUUGAGGUAUUAUAUUUACCCUUAUCACUGCGAAAAUGGUCUGACACGUCUUGAAUUCAAUUCCACCCUCCAUGUUGUUUGAUGCUUUAUAAGUUUUGAUUGCUUCAAGGUACCUUUUCUCUUUGUUCAUUUUUUGUUAUUAUUGUGGUUUGGACGUAAGAAUAUGACCGUGUGCUCUAGAAUUUCAUGGCUUUUUUUAAAAGUUUAUUUAUUUAUUUUGAGAGAGAGAGAGCAGAAGAGGGGCAGAGAGAAAGGGAGAGAGAGGGAAUCCCAAGCACGAUCCACACUGUCAGCACAGAGCCCCAAGUGGGGCUCGAACCCACGAACCAUGAGAUCAUGACCUGAGCCAAAAUCAAGAUUCGGACGCUUAAGCGACUGAGCCACCCAGGCGCCCCUGGAAUUUGAUGACUUUUUAUUGGGGAGACUUGUAUACUCGCAAAGGAAGUUCAUUGUCCCCCUCCUUACUGUUCUCCAUGUAUACCUGCUAAUUCUGUUGUAGUUACUGAGUCAUCCGGGCUACUGCUCUGUCUAGUUCUCUCAUAUUUAAUUCUGUCACUUUGAUAAAUGUUGAGGUCACCAGUUACCAUUAUAUAUACUACUGGCUGCAUUUCGCCACGUAAGACAUUUUUAUUAUAUUUACUGGAUCACGAAUAGUAUGUUGUGUUUUUUACCAUUUCAUGGUCUACUAUUACAUGGUGAUUUCGUCUGCCCAUGGUUCUUGCUGUAGCCUUGACUUAAUCCGACACUGUGGCGGUCCGCUCAGCUCUUCUGAAAUUUGUGCAGGUGUCUUAGAGCGUAAGCCAUCUCGUUCCUUCAAAGGUUGUCAUCGGCUCCUGUUCACGUGACUCCUGUGGACAGGAGACUGUUGGGCUUUGCUGAAGGGUGAAGUCUAGUCUCUUUGCUCAUUGUGUUGCAAUGAUAUCUCCUCAUUUACAUCUGUAGCUCUAACUCCAGAAGUUGGACGUCUAGAAGGCAUCUGUAUUCAUUUCCCAAGGCUGCCAUCAAAUGUACCGUAAGCCGGAAGGCUUAAAACGAGAGAAAUCUGGGGCGCCUGGGUGGCACAGUCGGUUAAGCGUCCGACUUCAGCCAGGUCACGAUCUCGCGGUCCGUGAGUUCGAGCCCCGCGUCAGGCUCUGGGCUGAUGGCUCGGAGCCUGGAGCCUGUUUCCGAUUCUGUGUCUCCCUCUCUCUCUGCCCCUCCCCGUUCAUGCUCUGUCUCUCUCUGUCCCAAAAUAAAUAAAAAAAAAAAAAAAAAAAAAAAAAAAAAAAAAAAAACGUUGAAAAAAAAAAACGAGAGAAAUCUGUUGUCACGCAGCUUUGGAGGCCUCAAGUCCAGAAUCGAGGGUCAGCAGGGCCACGCUCCUUCCGAGAUCCUAGGAAGAAUCCUUCCUGAAGCCCCUGAUGGUGGCAUUCCUUGACAUCCUCAGUGCUCCUUGAUGUGGAGCCGCCUCUCUCCAAUCUCUGCUUCAUCUUCAAAUGACCUCCUGGCAGAGACGUUAGUCAUAUUGGACUCUGGGCCCACCUUGCUGCAGUAUGAUCUCGUCGUAAGGAAUUACACCUGUAAGACCCUUUCCCCGAAUAAGAUCACAUUGUAAAGUACUGGGGGCUGGGACUUUAACAUAUCUUUUGGGGAAGGGGGACACAAAAUUUUAAUAUAGUUUCCAUGUCAUUUUUUAACGGCUUUGUUGAGAUACCUUCCUGUGUUUUUUUUUGAGAUAGUUCCUGCCUUAUGACCUUUCCGUUUGCAGUGUCUUUGCCCCAGUCUUCUCAUGGCCUCCUUAGAUCCUUCAGCCCUCUGCUCGAAACUUCUUCAGAGAGGCCUCUUCCGACCACUCUAUUUAAAAUAGAAACUCUCAUCCACUUACACAUAUCACUGUCUGACGUUUUGUUUGUUUGAUGACUGCACAUUUCCCCAGGUACAUUGUAGGCCCUGGGAGAGCAAGAAAUUCACCUUGCCAUUGACCAGAUGUCCCCAGGGACUAGAACGGUGCCUGGCACACAGUAGGCGUUCAGUUAAUACGUGCUGAAUUAACGUGAGAAUGAAUAUAGUCGUAGCAUCAUCCAUUGCCCUAUCACUUUAUUGAGCAGAGUUCUGAAUCAGAGUGAAUAAGGAGGAGAUAUAUGGGAAUGUUUCAGUGGAGCAUAGGACAACAGUAUGUGCAAAGGGCCUGAGGCAAGAGUGUGCUUGGCAUGUCCAGGUAACAACAGGGUUGGCCAGUGAGUGUAAGUGAGCAGUAGGAGAUGUGAUUGGAGAAAGGGACCAUAUCAAGCCCCUCUCCCCCUUCCCACAAUCUUUGGGCCACCUGACGUUCUUUCCCCGGCUGUUCUAAUAGCUGUCUUCCCAUUCUUGGGUGGUGGCUUAAAUACCACCUCCCUCUCAUAUUCCACUGCCACAGCAUCCCAUAGCAUUUAUCACCAGCAGUGAAUCCACUCACUUCUUUAUUGUCUUGCCCUCCCACUGCCCCAACCGACACCGAAGUGCUGUGUGAGUCAAGAUCACGUUUGUUUGAUAACUGUUGUGUUCCUGGCAUCCAAAAAGGUGCACACUCCCGCAAGUGUUGGUUUGUUGGUCGAGUGAGUGAAUGGGGACGAACUUCUAUCAGUAAACGAGUUCCCCUGAGUUGCUUAAUUCAGUUUAUAAAAACACAGUUUAUAAAAGUUUCUCUUUUCCGGGGAGGAAAGGAAGGGGAGAAGAGAGAGAAAGGACAGCCAUAUCUAAAUAUGCUUCCAUCUCCCAUAUUUAUUACCAAAUAAUACAGUUAUAUUUCUGGCAUUCUCCUGUGUGACAUUUUUCUAUUCCCAUGACCUUAAGGCAUAUCCCUUAUGAAUUCUGAGGCUCUGUUUUCUCUCUUGCCACACGUAUCGAGUUUUCACCCAACAUAUUUUCCCAGUGUUUUUUGAUUCCUUUUCACAUAGUCUUCAUAACGUUAACCUUAUAAGGCACAUAAAUAUUUCUAAUCUGAGUUUAAACAAGAAAAAAGUGAAGUUAAUUGUCUACAGUUAGUAAGUUCAUCGAUGAACUUUUAUUAAGUGGUCUGCUUACCAACUCCCCAUAUAUUUAUUGUGUACAUACUGGAUACGAGGCACUGGUCUAGGCUCUGGGGGGUCCUGGAGUAAGCUGGGCAGGCGAGAUGUGGUUCUUGCCUUCCCAAAGCUUCUGUUCUGGUAUGAGGCAGACACUAAAAAUUAUUUUCAUGAGAAGUUAUUGAAUUAAAUCUGCAUGUAAUUGAUACACAAAAAAGGAGUAUGUGAUGCCAUGAAAGCAUCUUACGGUAGGACCUGAGCUAGUCUUAGGGGUCAAGGACACCUUCUCUGCUAGUUUCUUCUUCAUUAAACAUUCUUCUCUUUUCUGUUACGAACAGAACUCUGAUUUCGUUUGAAUGGGCAGAGUAUCCAUUUUUGUACUUCCCUCGCAACGAGGGAUGGCCACUGGACAUUGCACUGACUAGUCACGUGGUAGAAGUGGACCGGAUGGUGCCGGCUGAGUUUCGCUUUCCUGGAGUAGAUUCCGCCUCUUCGUCCUCAGUCUUCUUUCCACUUCCUCCUUGAUAGGGGUGUCCAUGGAGUGAUACGAAGACCGAAGUCACAAAGGCAUUGACGAUAUCUGGGACCUGGUGCCCCUGCCCUUGGGUUUCUAUCCCCCAACCUCUUACGAGGUGCUAACAAUGAGCCCCUAUUUGAUGAAGCCACAGAAGAGGGGUUUCUGUAUUACGCAGCUGGGUGCAGUUCCUAGUUAAUACAAGCUUACUUGAGGAAAUGGCAUGUGAACUGGGCUUUGAAGGAUGUGAGUAGCAACUAACUGAGUCCCCACGUGCUCUGCAUAGACCUAGGGCUUUUGAACGCCGGGGUCUCAUCAUCUGAGUUGAAGGGUAUCGGAGCACAAUUUCUUAAAUCCCUCUACAGUUGGACUUGACGAUGAACCUGCCGGAGGAGAAAAGGCUAAAAGCAGCAGCUGGCCCUUGCCAUGUGCGAGGCACUGUUCUAAGGGGUUUACACCCGUGACCUCUUUCGGUUCUUACGACAACCCUUCGAGAGAGGUGCCAUUGUUGCCCCCUCUUAGUUGAGGAAGCCAAAGCAAAGACAGAUCAAGCCAGUGGCUCAAGAUUGCAUAGCUACUAAACGGAAGAGCCAGGAUUUGAAGCCCCGUAGUGUGGCUUGAGAGCCUGAGCUCAUUAACUCGUGACGAGUGGGCUUGACCCAAACUUUGGACUCAUUCCUGUCUUUGAUGCCUAAGAGGCCUCCUGAGAUGUGGUGCCCAAACAGGAGACGUUGACUGUUCUUACCAAGGAGUGCACUUCUGGACUCUGUUCCUCGCUAGCUGAUAAGCCAGUUAGGUGAUGGUUUUGGAAUACCUUCAUGUCGGUCCUCUCCUUUUUGUUAUUUCUGGGAACCCUACCGAACCAACUGUUCCCUCAAGUCAUGAGACAGAGAAGUUCUUGAUAGUCUUUUUUUAGACCCUGACCCAAAGUCUAUCAAUUUGUUCCAAGUUGCGAUAAAAAUAUUUAUCGCAAGCACACGCAUGUUGUUUUAUUUUUUCCCUAGCUUCUGGACCGUUGCUUUGUCUGUCUUUUAUUGCUGCUUCUGGGAUGCCCCUGGAAACACGGAAGCUUCCCCCAUUAGGUCCAGCUCAGGGUGCGACUCAGAAAGCAGUCCAUGGAUUACUAGUUCAAAACCAGUUCGAAAACUGUUACUGGUCUGCGGCAAGAUGAGUAGGGAAAUGAAGAGGCUUCGGGCAAUUUGGCAUGGCCACAGUGUCCAAGGAUGUGGUCCCUGAGCUAGUCUUGUUGAUGGGGCACGGGCCACUCCAGGUGCUGGCGCACUCACCCAAUGAGCUGGUUGUCACAGGAGCUGUGUUACAGGCAUGGGCAACAGGACCACUUGGUUCACGAUGGAUUGGAAAUGAGAACAAAAGUGCUUCUUCACGACACAUAGUUUGAGAAUCCCACCUGUGACUCGCGGUGGCAAUUCAGCGUGUGUCAUGUAAUCUGGCCCUCGACCUUAUUUUGGUAAGCUUUAUUCUAGUCAUUUCAUCUGUGGAGCCUCCUUGCCUGUGAUGCCACAGCCUGUCCUUUCUUUCCUUCACAUCUACCGUAGCACUUAGCAAGGUGCUGGCCACAUACAGGAGACAAACCUCAAAUGCUUUGGGGUGCCUGGGUGGCUCAGUCGGUUGAGUGUCUGACUCUUGAUUUCAGCUCAGGUCACGAUCCCAGGGUUGUGGGAUCGAGAUGGCAGUUCGAGUCUGCUUAGAAUUCUCUCCCUCUCUCCCUCUCUCUGCCCCUCCCCUGCUCGCACUCUCCUCUCUCUCUCUUAAAAACAAAACAAGGGUUUUGUUGUGUUUUUGCCGUGACUCAAAUCAUGAGAUGAGGGGGGUUGGGCAGGCAGGAGAAGAGUCAACUUUGCCUCACUUGGUGCAAAAAAGGGAAAACAAUCCCUCAUAACUUAGAUUUUAGAAAUACAAUGUCAAGGAAGAAGCUUCACGAGUACUAUUCUAAUGACCAUUUAUGGGAGCCUGUCGCACACCAGGCAUUAUGCUAGAGGCUGUAUUUGUUUCCAUAUGUUGCUUCACUUAAUCUUUGUACCAUCUCGUGAAGGUAGGUAUACUUACCGCCAUUUUGCCAAUGAAGGAGAUGACGUAUCAGAGAGGCUGAGUGACUUAUAUGAGGUCACACAGCUACUGAGUGGUGGUGGUCUGUCUGACUUCAAAGCCUGUGUGCUUUUUCUUCUUCCCGUUAUUACUUAGUGACAGCAUGUAUUGCUAAAAGGGAAGGUUACCGGAUUUAGAAAACGACUUCAAAUGUAUUUGAAAUAUCAUUUUUCUAAAAUAGCUUUUUUGGUAAUUGUUGCUAUGUCUUAGAUUUCCAUUAAAGCCCUGUCUGUUCUAUACUUUGCUUUUACUUCAGACGAUGGGGCACGAUCUUCCUCGGCCCAGGCCGUCCAGCAAAUUACAAUUCCAGAUUCACCUUUGCACCUCUUGGGAGAAGACAGACAGAGCCUUCUUUUUGGGGUCUAAUUAGGCCGCGAUUUAGCCUCGUGGCCCCGGAGAUCGGGACAUGCAGCUUUAGCAGAGACGUGCAUCCCGUCUCUGGGGACAGCAGGGUUGUCACAUGUCUCCGUGGUGUAUCAUAUGCAAACUGUGUCUAGGAUGGGCUUUUCAGAUGCCGCUUUCUGGCUCCUGGGGGAGAAUUGUUUUCUAAUGUUUUUAGUAGUUUCCAAAGGCUUUUAUUCCCUAAUUUAAAUGUAUAAUUACCUGCUCCUAAUUAAGUCCCGUCUCUGAAAACUGCGUCAACAACUUGCUGUCCGGAGUUAAGGUUGAACUGCAGUUUAGACCAGACAAGGGCACAUUUACUGAGGACCAAGAGAUACUCAGCCUGGUUGUCUAAUUAUCCCCCCGAACACAGAUUUAUAAUUGUAUUCCGUUAGAUGUAUUUUAGAAAACUGAACUGACUGCCUUAGGGAUGAAGCAGGUAAAAUGGAGAUUUUUAUGGUAGUUUAAUUUCUUUUUUUUUUUUUUAACGUUUUGUUUUAUUUUUGAGACAGAGAGAGACAGAGCAUGAACGGGGGAGGGUCAGAGAGAGGGAGACACAGAAUCUGAAACAGGCUCCAGGCUCUGAGCUGUCAGCACAGAACCCGACGCGGGGCUCGAACUCACGGACCGCGAGAUCAUGACCUGAGCCGAAGUUGGCUGCUUAACCGACUGAGCCACCCAGGCACCCCUCUUUUUUUUUUAAGCUUAUUUCUUUUGCGAGAGAGGGGUGGAGAGAGCAUGAGAGGGGGAGGGGGAGGGGGAGAGAGAGGGAGAGAGAGAGAGAGUGAGGGGGGCAGAGAGAGAGAGAGAGAGAGAGAGAGAAUCCCAAGCAGGCUCCACUGCCAUCGCAGAGCCCAAUUCAGGGCUCGAACUCACAAACUGUGAGAUCAUGACCUGAGCCAAGACCAAGAGUUAGAUGCAUAACGGCCUGAGCCACGCAGAUGUCCCCCCUCCACUUUUUUGUUGUUUUUUUUUUUUCUUGUAAGUAGGCUCCACACCCAAUGUGGGGCUUGAACUCACAACCAUGAAAUCAAGAGGCGCAUGCUCUUAACUACUGAACCAGCCAGGCGCCCCAGUAUUACUAAUUUGAUUGUGGAAAGGUGUUUGAGAAACUACGUCUUUUAUAUUUUGUUUAUGUUGCGGUGAUUCAGUAAUUAAAUGAGAAAGCAGACUAAUAGUGACUCAGGAUUCCAAUAUGAAGAGGAGAGACAUAAGGAAGGAAGAAAGUAAAUUGCCCUCUUCAGAACGUAAGCAGUCUGCUGAAAAGUAGUUUACCUAGCAUAGCAUCUCGCAAAUAGAUGUGUGUGUACUUAAGUAAUUUUUCUUUAGCCAAUUAUCUCUGUCACAUCACUGUUUCUUUAAUCCCUCACAUCUAAUUGCUGAUCAAAGCCUAAAUUCCAACUGCUCAAUGAAGCUCUUAAUCUGUCCCUUCCUCUCCAAUCCUGCCGCCCUAUAGCUACUUUACCUCUUGUUCCUGAACUGGUCUCCCUUGACCCCAGGAUCUUCCACUCCUUGAUCCGACUUUUGUCCUGGUACCAUGGUGGUGGCUUAUUCGAAAACAUGUACUUGAUCAUGUCACUCUACCACUGGAAAGCCUUCAUUUCUCACAGGAAGAAGGAGGAGGAGGAGGAGGAAGAGGAGAGGAGAGGAGGAGGAGGAAGAGGAGGAGAAAGGAGGAGGAGAAAGGAGGAGGAGGAGAAAGGAGGAGGAGGGAGGAGGAAGAGGAAGAGGAGAGGAAAGGAGAAGGAGGAAGAGGAGGAGAAAGGAGGAGGACGAGAAAGGAGGAGGGAGGAGGAGGAGAAAGGAGGAGAAGGAGGAAGAAAGCAGAGGAGGAGGAAGAGAAGGAGAAAGGAGGAGGAGGAGGAGGGAGGAGGAGGAGGAAGAGAAAGAGAAGGAGGAGGAAGAGGAGGAGAAGGAGGAGGAAGAGGAGGAGAAGGGGGAGGAAGAGAAGGAGAAAGGAGGAAGGAGGAGGGAGGAGGAGGAGGAAGAGUGGGAGGAAAGGGGGCAGGGGAGAAGGAGGAGAAGAGAAAGACAAGGUAGAACCCAGACACGAAAGAAAGAUAAAGACAAGAUGGAGCACAGAGCCCCUGCUUCGUGAUGCUUGUCCACCUUUCCUCUAGCAUCCCUGCUAUUCCAGCCUCAGGGCCGAACCGGUGGCUCCUAGGUCUCUCCUUCCGUCAAACUGCUCUUGGCCGAGGACGCUCUUCACCAGCCUGCCUCCGAUCCCAGGUUUUGGCACCGGCUCCUCCUCGGUCAGCCCUCCCUGACAGUCUCUUCCUGCUCCCUCUGCUUCUACUUAACAACAAUCCCAGCGUGUUUUCAAUAUCAGUCUAGGUGCCAUCUAUUUUAAUUAUUAUGUUUUUAUCUAAUUAUUUUGUUUUAUUAUUUUUAAAGGUUUAUUUAUUUAUUUUGAGAGGGACAGAGACAGCGUGAGCAGGGGAGGGGCAGAAGGAGAAGAGAGAGAGAAUCCCGGGCAGGCCCUGCCAUGUCAGCACAGAUCUCGAUGUGGGGCUCGAACUCAUGAACUGUGAGAUCAUGACUGGAUCUGAAACCGAGAGUCAGACGCUUAACCGACUGAGCCACCCAGGUGCCCCUAAUCCUUGUAUUUUAAUGACAGUGUGCUGACCACCUAGAUUUGGAUUCUAGCUUUGCAUUUCCUAGCUGGGUUAAGUUGACAAAUGGCUUAAGUUCUCUGUACUUGGGUUUACUCGUUUGUAAGGUGGGGAUAUUAAUAGUGCCCACUUCUUGGGACUGUAGUGGAGAUUCAGUGAAUUAAUGUGUGCAAAGCUUUUGGAACCCUGGCUGGGACAAGCUGGGUGCUUCACUGAUUCCACGGAAAAGCCAUUAUGUGAGUUGCAUAGAUCUUAUUUGAGAAAAUACUUUAAAGGCAUUUUAUUUCUGCUCUUGUGCUUACUUGUGAGAUAAAUAAUUGGAUAAUAUUAAAUUCUGUAGCAACAACUUGCUAUUUGUCUGUAGAGUUCUUAGAAAAACGAGAAACUUUUCAAAUAAAGGACUGUUAUACUCCUGGGCAGAGAAGUUUACUGCAGUUUGAAUAUUAGUAAUUUUAGUCAGAGCCUUGACUGAUCGGUAGCUUAUCUGCAAUUUACCCAACUCGUUUGCUCGGUUUCUGAGUUACCUUAACCACACAGCAGAACCAUAGGUAAGAAGCAAAGAUUUCUGGUGUUGGUUCCUGGACCAUGCGAUUCAGGGAACGGCCGUGAGGUUCCUCGUUUUCUGUGGGUGAUUCUAUUUUUCACCAUUAUAAAUGUUGCUGAAGUGAACAUCCUUUACCCAAAACUCUUGUGCACCUUUAAUUAUGUCCUUAGAGCAAGUUGAUCAAAGUAGAAUGAUUGAGUCAAAGGAAAUAAAUGGAUAUUAGUUAUUAGCGUACCUUCCAAACAAGGUUUUAUUCAUUUAUACUCCUACCCAUAGCACUUGGAAGUGUCCCGUCUCCUCCACACUUCUGCUAUCACUGAGUAUUCAUCUCGUUUUCUUUUUUUAAUAUUUAUUUAUUUUUGAGAGAGAGAGAGACAGAGACAAAGUGUGAGCGGGGAAGGGGCAGAGAGAGACAGACACUGAAUCCAAAGCGGGCUCCAGGCUCCGAGCUGUCAGCACAGAGCCUGAUGCGGGGCUCGAACUCACAGGCUGUGAGAUGAUGACCUGAGCCGAAGUCAGACGCUCAACCGACUGAGCCACCCAGGCACCGCUUUAUCUUGGUUGUUGUUGUUGUUGUUGUUGUUGUUGUUGUUUUAAUUAUUUCCUUCCUUCAUAAGCCAGAGGAAAGAAAAGACAUAUGAAGAAGGUGUUUUGCUCAUACAGGGGAGGAGAUAUUCACCCUCAUUUCUCUUCCUUAUUCAUCUGUAAUAAAAGAUUCAUUUUUAAUAAGAGACUUAUGCUUUAGACUCCACUCUUUUUCUGAUCGCAGACUUCUAAUAUUCAAAACUUUUCAUACGCAGUACAUUUCUUUUAAAUCUUCAUAAAUGAGGUGCAAGAACAGAAACCUGCUAAUACUGCCACUGUGUGCAGUAAGUGUGGAUAAGAAGAAUCGCAAAGACUUUAAACUCCAGAAUCCCAAGACUCGCUUUCAAAAAGGGACGUGAGGAAUACCAGAAACAGUGGGAAUCAAAGAAGGUCAGCCUGGAGCUCAAUAUUUUCACUUAUUGGAUAGGACUGCGUAGAGUUUAAUGAGCGAUAGCCUUUAAUUUCUUUAAAGCUUUUAUUUAUUUUGAGAGAGAGAGCGAGAGAGAACACAAGCAGGGGAGGGUCAGAGAGAAGGAGCGAGAGAGAGAAUCCCAAGCAGGCUCCACACCGUCAUCGUGGAACCUCAUGGGGGGCUUGAACCCACGAACUGUGAGAUCGUGACCCGAACUGAAAUCAAGAGUCAGACGCUCGACUGACGGAGCCACCCAGCUGCCCCCAGAGACCUCUGACAUGCAUGGUUUGUGGAGCGACUCAAGAUCUCUUGGUGACAUUGUUUGAAAAAUGAUCAGAACAGUUAAUUUUAUUCUCUUUUUAUGCAAAAAGGUAUGAAUUAGAAAGAUUAAUACAUAACUUUGUGAUGAUUGGUGGUACUAUUUAUUACUUCCUACAGUUUUCUUAUUAGGUACUCUCUGGAAUGAUUAUGUAUGUAUAAAGGAACGUUAAUGCAUAUUUAUAGCUAAAAAGUAGUUAGACAUGGGGAUUUUCACUCUACUGUAUAUGUAUAUAUGUAUUUUUUCCCUAUGUAUAUGUAUGUAUACAUACACGUAUAUAUACAUAUAUAUUUUUUGAAAGAAAGGACCUUCAUGAUGUUCGAAAGUAAAAAUCUGGGGAGCUGCGGGAGGGAAGGAAGGGGUUAAACAUGGCAGGAGGGUGCCAGGACAGGCCUCUGGGCUGACUUCUCAUUAGGAAAUCUGGUAUUUCAGGUUGGACUGGGCCUUGGGAAUGGCUGCUCCUUUGUUCAAGAGAAAGAGUGCGUUGGAUCUGCCUGCACUUUCAGACCUGACUUGUAGAAAAUGAAUUCUAGAACUUUCUAGGGUCAGAAAGGGAGGCGGCCCUGCAGUACCUUGAACAGAGGUAACCCCUUGAAUCGGAGAUGGUGUCCCUGAUCCUCAGGUUACGCACACUGACAGCCUGGACACCCAUGGUGGUGAUUAACCCUACGGAUCCCUCCAUUCCCCUCACAUUUAUUUUGAGAUUCGCUCUUUAGUAAAAGCGACCUUGACGCUGGCGGGAUUUUUUUUUUUUUCCUUCAGAUUUUAUUUAUUUAUUUAUUUAUUUAUUUAUUUAUAUUAUGAAAUUUAUUGCCAAAUUGGUUUCCAUACGACACCCGGUGCUCAUCCCAACAGGUGCCCUCCUCCAUGCCCCUCUCCCACUUUCCCCUCCCUCCCACUCCCCAUCAACCCUCGGUUUUUAUUUCAAGUGCUUUUGUUUUCCUGCUUUUCAUAGCUCGGGAUACAUUUAUUUAUAUUUCUCUGAUGACCAGCCUCUGUGCGUGGACUCCUUCUUGCGCCGUUUUUUCAAAAAGUUGCUUCGUUUAACCUGUGACUAAUUGGUUAGAUAAAACCAGCAUAUGUACUCCUAGAACCUAGGAGUACAUUUCGUCCCAGGCCUGGGAAGGAGGAGUAAAUUGCACUUCAUUCCUGUCAUUCUUUCUCUUUCCCUUUCCUGCAAAAUUAUCAUCAAAAGUCGUGUUGGAAAAUUCUUCAUUUGUCUAUCAGAGCUCUUUCAUUCAUUCGUGUAUUAUUCCGUAAAUCUCCCCCCCCCAGCCAGCUCCUGGACUCCAAGUGUCCUCCCACCCACACACAGCACAGGAAGGGAAGCUUCUCUAGGAGAAGAAACCGGUCAGGAAGGAAAGAGUAAGGACUAUGGAAUGUCAACUAAGUGAAAAAUUUGUGAUUUGGUGGAAAGAACAGCAGACCAGAGUCUAACACGUGGGUUCUAGGCUUAGCUUCCUACUGAUGGGUUGUGUGAAAUUGUCCAAUUGCAUCUAAUGUCUUGAGUCCCCACCUCCUUCGCUUGUAAAAUGGGGUGGCCUGCUUCCCUAGGAUGGUUGUGGGAAUCCGAUGAGACACUGCACGCCAAGUCUCUCUGUAAAUGCUCAGGCUCUUUCUGAGAGCACGGUGCCAUCAUUAUUCCGGAAGGAAAACAUGAGACAGGCAGGACAGGGCGUCCGUGUUGGGAAUUCAUUCUGGAGCGAGGUCGCAGCAGUCAUUGGGAAGAGUCUUCCUUGGGCAAUUUCAUAUUUACUUAUUUAAGUAAUCUCUACACCCAACGUGGGGCUCGAACUCAUGACCCCGAGAUCAAGACUCGCUUGCUCUUCUGACUGAGCCAGCCAGGUGCCCCAUUCCAUGGGUAACUUAAAUGACAAUGCCUCAAGGAAUUUUCCCCGGCUCUACCCCUCCCCAAGUCCAGGUUGUGCCCCUGGCAUGUGCCCCUAACACUGUAUACUUUUGUCCCCGAGCAUUUUGCAGGUAGCGGUACCUGUGUCCAUCUACAAGACCAUAAGCCCGUCGAAGUCAGGGCCUGCUCUCAUCCAUCACGAUGCCCACAGAUCCUGGCGCUGUGUCCAUAGGGACAGUAAGUAGACAAGUGGAAGUAUUUCUCACGAGCGAAGACCCGGAUGAGGCAUUCGGUCAGACAGCAUGACACGUCAAAGGAUUCUGCUGGGCACUUACGCUGUGUGGGAAAGUCAGCAGAUUGAAACCAGGUUUGGGGUCCAGAAGGCCAGUCUUAAGUCCUAGUAGUCUCACUGCUUAGCUAUAUUAUCACCAAGACAUCCCUGUGCUAUCGGGAAGCGUGCUCUCGCUUCUCAGCUUCGGAGAGUGACAACCUCUCUGUGCUUCAACAUCCUCACUUGAAAAAUGGAGCAAAAAAACACCUUCAAAUGCCUUAUCUUCUUCAGCCACGUUAAGCCGCGGUUUGGGUUUUUGUUCACGGCGCCAUAAGCAAAUGCUCUAAAGCGUUUUGUUUGGUUUUCAUUUUCCUGAAAAAUGACAACAUUCAGAUAUUUGCAGCAUUUCUCAAAUGAUGGGUAACAUUGUAACAAGAGCCUUGUCCUUUUUCUCUUGGCUCAUCUGUAACUCCAGACUUCCUGUUUGUUCGGGUUGUCGGAUGGCUUGGAAUCCUGGAGGUUUGAGGGAAGCCGAGUACCUGAAUAAGGCUAAUGACUUUGUAGAAGCCCAUACUUCUUGCCUGGUGCUCACCUCCCGCUACCACUAGCCUCGCACAAGCCGCUGUCAUCUCUGGCCUCCUGACGUACUUCCCCUUCUUGCCUCCAACCCACUUUUCACAACACAGAGCAGACGUUCCCCGAAUGCACAUCUGAUCGUACUCCUACUGACCGAGAGCCCUUCGGGAGGCCCCCCCCUGGCUGGCCAGGGCUCUUUCUCAGGAUCCUUCUCUUCUAUGUCAGUCUGUCUGUCUCUCUCUCUCUGUCUGUCGCACUCUCUCUGUCGCUUUCAGUUCCUCCAGCCAGCUGGACUCAGUUCUCUCCACCCCAGACCUAGUUCUGCUCUUCCUUCUGCAUGGAAUAUUCUCUUCUGUCUUUGCCUGGCCAACUGUACUAUCGUUCGGGUCUCAGUUUUAAUGGCACUUCUUGGUGGUGGGCCUUUCCUGACCCCCUAGACCAGACUGAGCAUCCUUGUGAUGUGAUCCUGACUCUUCCUCUGGCCUGCCUCGUCCCGUAGAGCUGUCUGUAAACUCCAUGAAGGCAGGAGCAAGCUUCUCCUGUUCACCUCUGCACCUCCAGAACCUGCCGAGUGCCGUGUGCCUCGCGUAGAUGGCGUGCCUCAGGUAGGAGUGUGCCUGUAAUGGGUUCAUUUUAAUAGAAAGGGUAGUUCCAGGGUGCCUGGGUGGUUCAGUCAGUUGAGCGUCUGACUACGGCUCAGAUCAUGAUUUCACGGUUUGUGAGUUCGAGCUUCGCAUCGGGCUCGCUGCUGUCAACGCAGAGCCUGCUUCCUAUCAAAUCCUCUGUCCCCCCUCUCUGCCCCUCCCCUCUCGUGUUCUCUCAAAUAAGACAUUUUUUUUUUAAAGAAAGGAUAGUGCCACCUAGCCAAAGCUAUAUCAUUUACUCUUCCACUAUGGUGCUCAUUCAUUCAGUUGUUAAUCCUCUACUCUGCCCGGCACUGUUCUGGGGGCGGGGCAUACAGCACUGAACAACACAGCUAUAGAUUGAGCUGGAAGGACAUUUCAGGCAGAAGGGAAGCCUGCAAAGCAGGUGGUUUCAAGGAACAGCUCGAAGGGCGGGCGGGAGGCUGGAGAACCAUGGGCCAGGAGAAGGAGGAAGGAGUGAGGACUUUGAACUUUACUCUGCCGGGGGUCUGAGCAGAGGAGGUAGGGGAAAUCCAACUGACUUGCGUUUUAAAAGGAUCCCUCUGACCUAUGUAUAGACUACUGACUCAAGGGAGAUAAGGCAGAAAGCCAGGACGCUAGUUAAGGAAGCUUUUCGAAAAUCCAGGCGGAAGGAUGGCAAUGACUUGACCCAGCAGCUAGCAGUGGGGGUGGUGAGAAACAGUUAGCUUCUAGAUCUGUUUUGAAGGACGGGCCAAGAGGAUUUGCUGAUGGGCUGGAUGUGGGAUGUGGGGAAAGCGGGUGGCAAGGAUGACACCCAGGGGCUUUGGCCUGGGUGACCAGAAGGAUGGAGCUGCCGGUAAGGGGACGGGCAGGUGGCCGGUAGAGCAGGUUUCGGGGGACAGAUGAGGAGCUCAGCUUCCACAUACUUAAGAUGCCUAUUAGUUACCGGCAUGUUUUUGCGUCCUAAAGUAAUGCAUCUAAGACGGCAAUUUUCUUUAAUCUAUAUAUGGAAAUAAUGAAAUACCAUACAUUUCUCCCCCCCCCACCCCCGAAAUGGAAACACAAGAUUGCCCUUUUCUGUAAAAUUCUAUGCCUGGCCAUUUCCUGUGCGGGUGCACUAGGAUUCCAUGUUUCUUAGAGGAGACGUCAGCCCGGAUCCCGUUUUAGAACCAGUAGAAUUGUGCACCGCUGAUGUUUGCUUCACUGUAUAAGGUAUUUAUUUACUUUUUUUUUAAGUUUAUUUAUUUUGAGAGAGAAGGUGUGAGCAGGGGAGGGGCAGAGAGAGAGGGAGAAAGAAAGAAUCCCCAGCAGGCUCCGAGCUGUCAUCGUGACCUGAGCCGAAAUCAAGACUCGGAUGCUUGAGGCACCCCUAAGAAACUUAUUUUUAUAGUAAGCCUGUUGGGGAAAAAAACAGGUAACUUACUCUAUUUCCAUACCUGAGUAAAAUGAUGCUAAGUACAAUUUAUCCAAUGACUGAGGUCUUGGGUCACCACUUAGAAUAAGCAGCUGCCCGCUGGGCACGCUGAGGGCCUCCUAUGUGCUGGUAGCUCUCCUCACUGUCACCGCGACAGGUAUGUGAGGUCCCUUGGGUGAGUUGGAGUUUUUGCCAUGGUGUUCGCUCAUUCUAUCCUUCCCGCUUUUUUUCCUUGUGUCCACCCCCCCCCCACACGCACAUACACACAGAUGAUAUUUUUAGCACACUUGCUUUCCAUUUCUGUUCUGACUGUUGAAAUACCUUUUUCUUUUCCUUUCUCUUCCCCUUGCCUUCCCGGCGAGUUCCAAUGAGCUGAGGUUGCCAUAUGUGAUUCUUAGAUAAGUGGGCUGUUACUAGUUUUGCAUUUUCCCUUCUGCAACUUUAACUUUUUGCCUGAGCUGCUGGGGGCCAUACUUACAGGCCAAGGGCCGGGUUGAUGCUGAAAAGCUACUAGUGGAUGACAUCUGACAAGAUACAGAUAAUCAAGAGUAUAGUCAUGACUGUGUCUAUGCAGAACUGGUCUGUAUCCUUUUCCUUGGCUAGAUAAGUUUUAUAUACUCCCCCCAAGAAUAGCAUUCUUUUUUUAAAAACAUUUUUAAAAGUUUAUUUAUUUUGAGAGAGAGAAAGUACACACAAGCUGAGGAGGGGCAUAGAGAGAGAGGGAGAGAGAGAAUCCCAAGCAGGUUCCAUGCCGUCAGCACAGAGCCCAACGCAGGGCUCGAUCCCACAAACCAUGAGAUCGUGACCUGAGCCGAGAUCAAGAGUCAGAUGCUUACCCAACUGAGCCAUCCCGGUUCCCCCACCCCCCAGGAAUAGUAUUUUUUACAGAAGAUGCCCCAAUUCGUGUUGUUGAUAACUAACACUGAGCAGAAAGAGCCAUUUCAGAGGAAGAGUUUUCGAAACUGGAAGACUGUGUAUGCCGUGAAAAUUAAUGUUAAUAAAGUCAGAUAUGUUGCUAGAUAUUCGUAUCCAGAAAAAUGGAUUUAUCACUGAAUUAACUUAAAAAAUUUUUGCCUGGUCCAAAAAUUACUUUUAAUUCUAACCACCGAAUGAUAAAUCAUAGUUCCUAGAAUGGAUGCAUUCUUCCAACAGCUGGUUUACUCGGAUUAUUCGGGAUUUUUGCUGGAAUCCAAGUGGUCUUUCAAGAGAACCGAUGAUUUUCUGAUGAAGCUGUUCACACGCUUUUGAAGCCAGGAGAAGGGGUGAGUAUUAAUUUGCAUUCUCUUCGGCUAUAGAAUUCUCUCUCAGGCCAGCAGUGUUUGAUGAAGUCUGAAUUCCCAUUUCAGUUGUAUAGACAACAAGACUGUAUGAAGGUAUGAAAUUGUCUUGGUAAGACGAAGUAAAAUUGGGCCACCACACAAGCAAACAUGGACAUCACCUGUAUCUGGAGUCUCAAAGUCAUGAAAUACGCAGUGUUUGAAAGGAUACGAGAAAUACAUUGAUUUGAUUUGAUUUUUUUCUUUUUGGCCAUCCUUCGUGUUACAAAACAGUUGAAGCUUAGUAUCAUUUCAAGCACGGAGUGUAAAGUGAUCGGUGAGGCUGGAUGGAGGAAAGGCAAAAGAAAUGAAUUUGAAGGACAAAAAAAAACAAAAACAAAAACAAAAAACCACAUAUCCUUCGAAGACCUCCCUGUCUCGAGGACAGAAAAUGCCUUGGCAGUCGCGAUUUUUGUGCAGUCAGAAGGGAGCUGAUUUCCCAGCUGUUCUGGUGUAUUUUCCUUAUUAGUCUUUGCUCCCACGGUCUAAGAGCAAAUACCGGAUCUAAGCGCCUACAGUACUGGUCAAGGACUGCAGCUUCCCUCGUGUGUGACUCACAGGCGCGAGCAAACCACCUACUGUAACAGCUGGCCCCAGACCCUGGCCCGGCCACAGCACAGCAGCUGCUUUGCUGGACCCCUGCUUGCUUGGCUAUUAACUGUCUUAACUGUUGCUCUUACCUUUAUGGGCUGUGGUAAAGGCAGGCUUUAUUUAUUUAUGUUUGUUUGUUUUUGAGAGAGAGUGUGCGUGCGCGAACAUGUGAGGGAGGGACAGAGAGAGAGGGAGACACAGAGUCCAAAGCAGGCUCCAGACUCCGAGCUGUCAGCACAGAGCCCGACAUGGGGCUCAAAGUCACAAACCGUGAGAUCAUGACCUGAGCCAAAGUCGGACGCUUAACCAACUGAGCCACCCAGGUGCGCCAAAGGUGGGCUUUAGAUACAUAGACCCUUGGGUCCAUUUUUCCCCAAUUGUAUUUCUCGGUUCUUACUAAAAGAUCUCAGCGGUCACCUGGAAGCGUAAUUUCGAUUUAGGAUGCUAGAAGGCCGCUCAUCAUUUACAACGGCCCUUCAUGUGCUUUUCUGCAUGCGUGAUUACUUUCUUGAUGAACAAAGGUUAUGCUUAGUUUCAGGCUUGGUUAUUAUUUGUUACUAUUACGAUCAGUAUGAGGUGAACCACCUUUAUAAGAACUUGUUUCCUUUUUUUUAAUGUUUAUUUUUGAGAGAGAGACAGAGGGCAGGCGGGGAGGGGCAGAGAGAGAAGGAGACACAGAAUCCGAAAGAGGCACCACGCUCCGAGCUGUCAGCGCAGAUCCUGACGGGGGGCUGGAACUUACAAACUGUGAGAUCGUGACCUGGGCCGAAGUCGGACGCUUAACCGACUGCGCCACCCAGGUGCCCCUUAAGAACUAGUUUCUUAAAACGGGAUGGCAUCUUGCUGCGUUUCUUUGACUCUCCACCAUACCUCUCCUCUGCCCAGAGGACCAUUCUCAAGGCUUCACUAGAGAAAGGGAGAGCACAGCACCUGGCCUCAGAAAGCCCCCAAACCAGUUGUGGCUACAGAUUAACAUGUGAGAAUCAAAGAUUCCCAAAGGAAGGCAAAUCAGAUGCAGUUUCAGAGAAAGGAGAGAUUUUUUUUUGCGGGGCAGGUCAGUCUGUGCCCCAGUGCUUGUGUCUUGCAGCCUUGUGUUUUACUGGGUAUUAGUAUUGUUUCGCAAAAGUUGUUCUGGAGUCACACGCCAUGCUAUUUUCAUCUUUCGAUCUCCGUAUUCUAGUACAUUCCAGCCCCUGCACGGGACACGACACUUUACACAUAACACGUGCCAGGUAAACAUUUGCUGACAUAAUUGAAUGGGAGAAGGCUUUGUGGAAAAGGCAGAGCUUGGGCCCGGCUUUAGAUAGAGAGGGGAGGUUGGCCAGUGACAUACUCUGCCUGUAUAUGAGUCAUUCGUUCUGGGCCUUGAGGAAGAACUUGCAAAGUCAAAACAGAGCGGAGACACAUGCCAGGUUGAAAGAGUAACUACGGCAGAGCAGAGGGUUAGUGUAUGAAAUAUGGGGUCAAGGAGGAGGCCUGGCAAGACGUUCUGGAGAAUAACUGGGACGGUAGGGUAGCCAGAUACAACAUCAGGGCCCCUUGGAGGUGCUGUGGGUGGAUGGACACCAAAGUAAUAGUCUUUCUCUCCCUAUCUCAUGCUGAGGACACACUUUUCAUUUGUACCUUAGCGCAUUUAUUGUAGUCUUCAGGUGUGGGCAGGACCUGUCAACGUGAUGUCAUAUUUCCCUUCUUUACAUGCGAAUGUUUUAUUUGUUAAUCAGUUUGUUCUGGAAUUGGUUUGUUUUCAGGAAAGAGGUGGAAUGCAUUUUGAAACACCAUUUGAAAAUUGGAUUGAGAACAUUAAAGUUUCUUUUUUUCUUCUUUUCUGUUUUUCCUGGGACCCUGGAUGACUUUAUAGAGAUGCCAUGGGUGAAGAAAAGGAAUUCUUGAAAACUAGAAAGCUACCUAGCUUGGGGCAAAGCAGGAAAAAAACAGCAGGUUUGGGGACAUGAGUGUUUCUGCACUGGCAGUAUUGUGGGCCAUCGAAGAAGAGACAGAAAUUGCCAUUUGAAAUCAGGGCUCAAGUGUGAGAGAAGUCAGGGCUGGAAAGAGAUUUAACAGUGGAAGUGGUAGUUAGAAAUGGGGGACAGUGCCUGGGGAGAGCAGGUGGAAUGGAGUUCUUUUUUUUUUUAAUUUUUUUUAAGUUUUACUUUUGAGAGAGAGAAAGAGAGAGACAGAGUGUGAGUGGGGGAGGAGCAGAGAGAGGGAGACACAGAAUCCAAAGCAGACUCCAGGCUCCGAGCUGUCAGCACAGAGCCUGACGUGGGGCUCGAACUCACAAACCCCGAACCGCAAGAUCAUUACCUGAGCCAAAGUCGGACGCUUAACCGACUGAGCCACCCACGCACCCCUGGAAUGGGGUCCUUAACUGGGAUCCAGAGUGGCUCUGGUGAUUGAAGGUCAGGGCUCUAUAGCCACCGGAAGUUAUGAGCAAUAUUUUCUUUGAGUUUCCACUUGGCAUGUUGGGAUGGAGUGUGUUUGUAAGUUUGGUCAGGUUCUUAGAGGUAUCCAAAGGUUAAGAAAUCGCUGAUGUAGAAUGGGAAGAGGAGAGCAAGAAGGUCAGAACUCUGAGGGGAAAUCAACAUUUAAGGAGUUCUCAGAGAAGAGCCAUGGAAAAAGGCCAAAGAGAUUGGGAAGGCAGAAAUCUAUCUGGGAAGUCAGGCGGAUGCGGAAGGCAAUGGAAUGCGGGGGCGCAGGGCAACAAGGUUAAAUGGUAUCUUAAGGUCGGGUAGGGCUAAAAGAAUGUGUUCGAUUGACCAUUAGGAAGUCAUUGGUGACUUUCAGGAGAGCAGUGUAAAUGGAGGCACAUUGUGAUAAGUGGAGGAUGGGACUCAGGGAGCCGGGAAGUUAAGUCCAGCUUUCUCUUUCUGGAAGGUUAACAUUUGACAAGAGUGAAUAUUUACUGAGUUCCUGAGAAGGGCUGGAACUUGGCCAUUCACUGCAGACACAAAUGUGAGCAAGGUAACAUAGGCUUUGCUCUCACGGAUCUUAGGGUCUCGUGGGAGAGAUAGGCAUUAAUCAAAUAAUGACACAGAGUAAGCAUGUCAUCACAAACUGGGAAGAAAUGUGGUGCCCGGCACUGAAGCAUGACCCAAUGUGGGGUCAAAGAAGGACCCCUGAAGAAGUGAGCUUUGUGCUCAGACCUGAAGGGUGAAUAGGAGUGAGAUAGUGAAGAGAACGGGGGCAGAGAGCAGAACAUCCUAGGCAAUGAGGGAAGCAAGAAUGAAGUGUACAGAGAGCGAGGGAAGCCCAGCGACAGGAGUACAUGCUGGGUCUUUUAAACGAGCAUAAAGAUCUGCGUCUAAGAACAUUCAGGAAACUGCUAAUCUGUGGAUGGUUGCGCACGGUUUUGCAUUUCAAAACCAAAUGGGAGAGUCCAGGUGAGGAACAAUGGUACCGCCUUGAAUCAGCAUCCUGGCAAAGAAGAUGGGGAGGAGCAGAGGGUUUCAGGAAUCAUGCAGGAGCUGAAAUAGGUAGGAGAGAGAGCGCUACCUUCUCUCUUAAAGAGUGCUUUAGGAGGUCCUGCGAAAAGUAAAGUUCUCCUUCAGGUGCUGAAUACCGAAGCUCAUUUGUAGGCAAAGGGAAAGAGCAGUGGAGAGAGCGAGCUUGAAGACAUACAAACCCGGAGGGGACACACGGCUACUAGAAUCGGAAACACUGUUCUCCAAAUCGCGAAGACGGGGCUGGUGAAUAUACAGGUGUGGUUACAGGUAGAAAGGAGGCAAACUGAGACAUGAAGACGUGGUUCAUGAAGGGGGGCUCGUGUCUGCUUUGGGGUGACGCUGUGACCCCCCGCCCCCAAAUAAUAGGCUAGCAUCAGGCUCUGGAGGAUGAACAGCAAGAAACUCUAAGACAGUUCAUGGAAGGGACACAUUUACCAUUUGUGUACGUGCACAAACACUGCCUGACCCUCAGAGUACCUCUUGGAGCCCACGUUUCAGUUUUAUGAUUAAAAACAGGCAGGGAGCUUUAAAUGUGCAAAUGUCCAACAGCUGUCUCGAGCUGUGUUCAGAAAUCUCCUUUUCCCCCAAAUCCAUGAGGUGGUUUGCCCAACAUUGGGUGGUGGGUGUCGUACAAUAAGGAAAAGCACAAAUCUCAGACACUCGAGUUGUUACUCAGGAGAACCGGAUCAUUGUCUUACAGACAAGGCACCCACACAAGUCUGAAUUUCCAAUGACAUGUUAACUUGCAUUUCAUGCUAACAAUUAAGUCCUCCCAUAGGGACACCAGUGAGGUCAAUCAAUCUUUAAAACUCAACACUGAUUUUGGGGCACCUGGGUGGUUCAGUCGGUUAAGUGUUGACUUCGACUCAGGUCAUAAUCUCAUGGUUUGUGAGUUCGAGCCCCGCUUCGGGCUCUGCGCUGACAGCUCAGAGCCUGCUUGGGAUUCUCUCUCUCUCCUUCUCUCUCUCUCUGCCCCUCCCCUGCUUGUUCUCUUUCUCUAAAUAAAUAAAUAAACUUAAAAAAAAUCAACACUGAUUUUAAGUUUAGUAAGAAAGAUGCAGUGAGAAAUCAUAUGUCAGAUCUCUCAAGUCGAAUGUGUCUAUUUAAUGUCCUAGCUCAGAAAAAGAGAUCGGGUUUUUAGUUGACCUUUAAAAAAAUGAUCUGAGGGAUUCAUGUUCAUCCCUCCCCCUUUCUGAUACAGUUGUGGGAAACUUGGACUCUUUCAACACGUCAGAUCCAACUGCAGAAUCUCCGAGUGAAUCUACGUGUUUGUGAUGACUCAUGCUGCAGGGGUAUGGCUUUGUCACAAAAUGGCUUUUCUCUCUUCGAGAAAAAUGUGUAUCCUCUGAGCGUGGUAGGAACGCGCCAUGUUGAAUUAGAAAUGAGCAGUGCGGUACCGGCUGGAGGAAUAGCUCUGCUUGGCAAUCUUGAAAUAAAUGCAGCUGGGAUAAUUUUCGAUUCAACCCUUGGCAAACCUUCAGUGUGUACAAGAAAAAAAAAGCUGUGGAGGAGGCUUAAAUGCUGUAGGCGCUCAGCAGCCAUCACUCUAUCUCUCGAAGUUUCCAGUAAACGGUAGGUCAGCUCUGCAUCCUGCUGAGGUCUGGUGAGCACUCUGGGAAGAAAUGAUUCUUAUUAAGUGAGUUCAUACGUCUAAUUGCUGAGCACAGGGCCUGGCACAUUGAAGUGCUUAAUGAAUAUUAGCUUUUAUUUUUAAAAAGUAUUAUUAUUUAGGAUUAUUAACUUCCUAGGGCUCAAUGUGUACCCUGAAGGGUCACGAUUAUGGACCCAAUUUCCUCCUCUACCCGUGUGGUCUCUCAGUUCUAGACUGACAUACCCAGGUUUUAUACCCCAUGCCUUCAAAGGAGACCAUGUACUGCUGGGAAAGUGGCUUUCAGUUCCAUAGCAGCUCUGAAACUGAUUUCUGUAUUACAAGGUUUCAGGUGAUCACGGUUCACUGGUAGAAUCAGGGAAGUUCAGCAGCCGACAGAAUCUCCCCCUUCUGGGCCGAUUCCUUUCUGAGUUCCCAGGAGAGCUAGGUUUUGGAAUUUUCCCUAAAUGUCUAUCCUCCUAGGGCUGAAUCGAACCUUUGGCGUUUCCUGUUCUACACUGGGAACCGGGAGCUUUCUGAAUUAUCUCAUAGGACAUUUCCUGAUCUGUGAAUCUUUUAGAGCCUGAAGAUCAUGUUUUUCCCCUCAUCAUCUCCUGACUCUCAGUCUCCAAGGAACAUGUGCGUAUUUCAUUACAACUCCACCGUUUCCCGCGUUCGGUGAUAAAUAUGUGAGCUACAAGAGUGUACAUUCAUAACACAACACCAAAGGUUGGCAGUACAGAUUUAUGGCUCAUUACAUCAUUUUAGUGUGGGGCUGAUUCACCCAAUCAGUUUAUUUAGCAAUAAGAGAAUAUUAAAGAAGGCAACUGUACCAACCUACACCAGCCCCUGUCUCGGCUGGGUCCAUUACUUCUGCCCUCUCCUAUCAGUGGCUUGAUAAGGUCGAUCUGCGCUCGCAGAGAUAGGCCUUGUCAGGGAGGCAGAGCGGGAGCUUCCCAACAGGCCCUGACUGUACUCAGGGACUUCAAGAGGCAGAGGACGCUGUGAAUCUAAAAACAUAGCAUUCCUCUCAUAAGGAUUACAUUUUCACUUUUGAGGUUUUGAGUGUUCCUCUCUCUUUUUUAUUUUUAAUUUUUUUAAAUGUUUAUUUAUUUUUGAGAGAGAGGGAGAAAGAGUGUGAGUGGGAGAAGGGCAGAGAGAGAGAGGGAGACACAGCAUCCGAAGCAAGCUCCAGGCCCUGAGCUGUCAGCACAGAGCCUGAUUCGGGCCUCGAACCCAUGAACCGUUGAGAUCGUGACCUGAGCCUAAGUCAGACGUUAAACCAGCUGAGCCGCCAGGUGCCCCUCGAGUGUUCUUCUCUUGCUAUUGUUUACUCCAUCCUUUGUUGUUCAGAUAAGCUCAUUCUGCCUGCUACCUCCAGAAUGAGGCUCUCUUUCCUGGGACAUCCUGGUCAGCCAGUCAUUUUAUCCCACCCUGCCGGUGUCACUGGUCACAAGGCUCUUGACGUUCAAUUAGGAAUAAAUAAGUUACCACCAGAAUCAAAGUCAAGUUGAGUUUAUCAAACGUCGGGUGUUUUCGCAGGGGAGGGGAAGGAUGGUGGAAUUAGGUGGUGGGGAUGAAAAGGACACUUACCGUGAUGAGCAGUAGGUAAUGUACAGGAUUGUUGAAUCGCUAUACUGUACCCCCCAAACUGGUAUCACACUGUAUGUUAUCUGUGCUGGAAUUAAAAUUAAAAAGCUUAAUUUAAAAAAGGGAUGUUUCCAACAUUUUAUUUUUAAAAGCUUCAGCUAUACAGACAUGUUGAAAGAACUGUGCAGCGAGCACCCCUCUACCUGUCGCCCAGAGUCCACAGUUAGUAUUUUUAUUUAUUAUAUAACCAUCUAUCCACCCAUCAAUCCAUCUUAUCAUGUUAGCUUUUUGUUUUGAAGUAAUUUUAGAUUUACAGAAGAGUUGCAAGAAUAGUGCAUAGGGUUCCCAAAUACCUUUCAUCAGCUUCCCCUGAUGUUAGCAUCUUACAGAACCAUAACACAAUGAUCAAGUCAACAUUAGAAUGAUCUGACACAACACUGCCAGUAAUAUAACCUUAUUUUUAAGAACCUUUCUAACAGUGAGUUUCUAUUUUUUAUUAAAAAGAUUUUUUUUUCCAGCUGGACUUUAAAUAAAAACUUGGGAAACGAUACUGCCACACUAUUAAUGAAUCUACACAUCUUACUUGAAUUUCAUCAAAUUUCCCACUAAGGUUCUUUUCCUGGUGGAGGAUGCAAUCCAGGCUCCUGCCCUGCAUGUAGUUGUAGUAUGUUCUUUGUCUCCGGCCUAUGACAGCUCCUCUGUUUCACAUACUCGUGACCCUUUUGAUGUAUACUAGCCAUUUAUUUUUUGAAUGUCCUUCAAUUUGGGUUUGUCUGAAGUUUUCUCAUGAUUACACCAAGACUGCAUUUUUUUUACAAGAAUACCACAGAAAUGAGAUUAUGCCUUUCUCUGUUCAUCACAUGGUGGGGGGUGGGCAUCAUAUCACCCCGUAAAAUUGCUACUGAUGUAUCUUUUAUCAAUUGGUUAAGGAGUUGUCUGCCGGGCUUUUCCACUGUAAAUUUAUUAUUUUUCAGUUUGUAAAAAAUAAGUGUUUUGGAGGAGAUCCUUUGAGACCAUGCAAAUAUCUGGCUUCUCCUUAAAUCUCGCCUACUAAUUUUAGCAGGCAUUGGGGGGUUUUGCCUGGAGCAGUUGUUUCUGUGGCUCUCUAAUGGUGCUUUCCCAUGACCCCCAUUCUUUCUACAUUGAUUAGCUAGGGUUCUACCUUAAGGAAGAGGUGUCCCCUCUUCCCCAUUUAUUUAUCUGUUCAAUUAUUUAUUUAUGUCAAGACGGAGUCAGGGAUCUUUCUUUCCUUCUUUGGGUUCCAAUCCAGUAUUAUCAUAAUUUAUUUUGUUGCUCUGUCUGUUGGAUCAUUGGAAACUCCCUUCAGAUCAGCUCGUGCAUCCUUUUGACCUGCCCUGGCAUUUCCUGAGCACUUCUUUACUUUCUGGCAACACAAGAUGUUGCAGACUUAUUUUGUAUUUUCCCUAUUUUCUCUAAGGAGCUCUGGGUUCUUUUUAUGAGAGAUUGGUGUUUAGAAACCAAGAUCUGGGCAUUAAGUGUGCUUACUGCUGUGGGAGUACCAUUGUCUUCCCAGUGGAUGGAGCUAGAAAGUGUAUGUGUGUUAUUGAUAUGUAACAUCUAUAUUUCUGUAUUUAUCCAUCUGUGUGUGUGAGUAGAUAUGUGCGCAUAUAUAUUUACAUAUACAUAUUCCUCUAAAUAUUAAAUCAUGAGCUCAUGCAGAUGCCCUUGAGUCCAACUGAACACCAUGGUUUUAUUCAGGACUUCCCCUUUUCUUUUUUUUUUUUUUUUUUUUUUUUUUUUUUUUUUUUUAAUUUUUUUUUUUCCACAUUUAUUUAUUUUUGGGACAGAGAGAGACAGAGCAUGAACGGGGGAGGGGCAGAGAGAGAGGGAGACACAGAAUCGGAAACAGGCUCCAGGCUCCGAGCCAUCAGCCCGGAGCCUGACGCGGGGCUCGAACUCACGGACCGCGAGAUCGUGACCUGGCUGAAGUCGGACGCUUAACCGACUGCGCCACCCAGGCGCCCCAUGGACUUCCCCUUUUCUUAAUUGCCAGCUUCUAGCUCUGCAGGGGAAAACCUGGCUGUCUUAUCCAUAGUAUAUUUACUUAUUUGUCCAAUCCUUGUACACACAUAAAGUAGUUUCAGAGUUGCUAAUCCAUACCUCCUUGGAGGGACGAAUUUACUAAUUAGAGUCCAAUAUUAGUACAUGAUUCUUUUUGUCCUUAGCAUUAUAGUUUGUGGCCAAAAGUUGCUUAGAUUAGUUCCUUUCUUCCCCACCCUCUUCAGGGUGGUUGAGUUAUUGGUUUGUAAUAAUACAGUUAGGUUCAUUUGUUACUGCUUGUAUUCUAUUUUGGAUUCCCUCCAUAUCUUGAUUGAUUUAAAAAAUUUAUACUUUCUUGGUAUAUAUGUGGGCAAUAUGUGAAACACUGCUGUGAUUAUUUUUUUAAUAUUUUAUUAAAAUUUUAAAUGUUUAUUUAAUAUUUGAGAGUGAGCGACAGAGAGAGAGAGAUUGGCGGAGGGGCAGAGAGAGGGAGACACAGCAUCCGAAGCAGGCUCCAGGCUCUGAGCUGUCAGCACAGAGCCCGACAUGGGGCUCAAACCCACGAAUUGUGAGAUCAUGACCUGAGCCGAAGUUGGAUGCUUAACCCACUGAGCCACCUAGGUGCCCCAACACUGCCAUGAUUCUAAAGUAGGAGUAAUAAAGAAAUGUUCACCCAGAGAAGUGCUGCCCUUUCCCUAUUCUUUCCACCACAUUCUCACUCUUUGCAGGUGACUAAUCUCAUUUGUUUCUGGCUUAUCCUUCUUAUAUUUCUUUUGCACAUGUUAGCAGCUUCAUGAACACCUCUAUGUUUCCCUUUCUUUCUUCCAUGAAUCCACCUUAUUUUUGAUGCGUUUCACAGAAAGUUGCAGUUCUCAGUACAUUUUUACCCUAAACACUUUGGCAUGCCCGUUAUUAACUAGGUUUCAAUUUUGGUCUAUUUUUUUUUCACUUUUAUUUCUUUCAAGGUAAAAUUCACACGCAAUAAAACUCAAGAAUCUUAAGUGUACUGUCGAAUACGUUUUGACAAAUGCAUAUACUUGUGUAAUGCAAACCCCUAACAAAACGUAGAGCAUUCCCAUAACCUCGUAAGUUUCCUGCUCCAGCUCUGAGACAACUGGUAUUCUAAGUUUUUUCUACCAUCGUUUGGUUUGGCCUGUUCUAGGCUUCCUAAAAGCGAAUUAUACAAUGUGUACUCUUCUGCAUGAAGCUUCUUCCACUCUAGCCUGUCUUUGAAAUACAUCCAUGUUGUGUGUAUCUCUAGCUCAUUCCUUUUAUUGUGUUAGCGUUCUGCGGUGUAAACAUACCAGUGUAUGCAGGAUGAACAGUGUAGAUUUUCUGUUGAUGUGGAGUUAGCUUAUUUUCAUCUGAUGCUUCAGAUUCUUCUGGUGUUACAGUGCCGUGCUACACAUCUUUUAAAUUAUUUUAAGUAAUUCCGCUUUAUAUGUUUUGCCUUGUGCACACAUACAUGGUGCUUUCCUUUCAGAAAGCUCAGUGUUAAAACACGAUUAGAUUCUCUCUGUAGAGACAGAUAAAUGUACUUUAAGACAUUUAAUACUGAAAAAUUCAUACAACAAAAACCUAAGUCAGUGACUAUUCUAUUUGAGAGAGAGGCGUGGGGGAGGAGGGGCAGAAAGAGAGAGGGAGAGAGAGAAUCCCAAGCAGUCUCCACGCUCAACAAGGAGCCCAGUGCGCGGCUCAGUCCCAGACCCUGAGGUCAUGACCUGCGCUGAAAUAGAGUCGGAGACGCUGAACCUACUGAGCCACCCAGGUGCCCCUCAGUAACUAUUUCUUGAACAUUGAUUAUACGCAAUUACUGCGUUAGAUCUUUGGGAAUACAGGCACGAGGAAGACAGAGGGCUGUUUAUGGAUGUUUUAGGGCAUUCAAGGUACAUUCGGACGCCACCAGAGACAGGAUUUCCCGAGAAGAACCCCAAUCAUCAUCUCAGUUGUGUGCUCCAAGUCGUGUGAGCAAUGCGGUGCUCCUCCAAACAAGUAGUCCUUGUUGAGAAGCUGCGUCCUGGCUUUUGCAGCUGUCGCGUGGGCUCAGGGUGGUGGAGAGGGAUCGGCCGGAGAGGGGAAGACAGGGGAACACAACGGAGGCUAACACGAGCCCGGAGCUGUGCCGCCAAAGGGGGAUGGCAUCAGGAAGGAAGCAUUUCCGGAGCAUGUGGGGCCGGCAUUUCCGGUGCAUGCAGUACGGCCAUUUCCGGAGUAUUAGGUGCCGGCAUUUCCGGCUCACGCGGUGCCGGCUCUCACCUGUGGCGGCCGCCGCUGGCACCAAGGUGGGAGCCGGGCCCAGUGCUGACCGAGCCACCAGCCACCGCUCAGGCCUCCGAUGGCACGGCGGGGAGGAGGCAUCUGCAAAAGGCCACAGGCCCCGUCACCCCUUAGCGUGCACGAAAUGAGGCAAAAGGGUGGCUCAAUAAUUUGGCCCAGGACACACCAUGGAAGGCGCUCAGUGAAUGCUAAUUUAAUUGUCUAGGUGGGUCCAUUUAAAAUGUCUCUCUCGCUCUCUUUUUGAAAUCUUAGCAACCUGGAAGAAACUUUUUGGUAUAAAUUCAGUAACUUCUAGACUUGGAAAUGAUAAAUGCUUUUUUAUGUUUUAUUUUUUAAUAAAAACAUGAACUGGAAUGGAAUGACUUCCUUCCAAAACACUUUAAAGAAACAAAUUGUCAUGUGGAAUCUCAUUUUGCAUGAAUCAGAGUACAGUAAAUCUCAAAAUAUCCACUGAACUGCCUGUUGUGGUUUACUAAACAGGAAAAUGAUUUCAGCAGGAUGGUCUUUUCCCCUAGAUCCACAGCAGGCAGCCUUUUGUGCUGUUCUGAAAACAUCUUAAUUCUUCCCCAAGUACCAUGUUUCUUGGAAUUAUUCACCGGAAAUUAAUAGUAUUCUGAGUUUUAAAGUAAUUCAAACCACAAGUGACUUUGUAAUCAUGCUUAGCAGUAGUAUAAAGAGCCAUCGAGCAAGCAGAGGUUAUGACAGUAUUAGUCACAAUUGCACAUAGUAUCCCCCACACAAAGAUGUAUGUUUCUGUCCCGACCGUGUUCACUGGGCUGCCGAACUGGGUAGUGACAACAAACAAAUGAGUAAAAUGUGUUGGAUAAUGUCAAAUGCUACAGGGAAAAAAUUGGGCAAAGGCGGCUCUUAAACAUGCUGGGAUAGAGACAGAGAGCUGUUGAAAUUACAGAUAAGGUGGCCGGGGAAAGGCGUCACUGGGGAAACGAUAUUUGCAUAAAGACCUCAACAGUAUGUGAGUCACAUGGACAUCUGAGGAAGAACAUUCCAGGCACAGGAAGAGCAUGUGCAAAGGCCCUGAGGCAGGAGUGUGCCUGAGGAACACAAGAGCAUAGGUGGAAUGUAGUGAAUGAGGGCGAGGGCCACAUUCAUGGCCACAUCAUGAUAGGCCUCACAGUAAGGACUUUGGUUUUUACUCUGAAGGAUGGCAGAAGUGCUAGAAGGUUUUAGGGGAGAAGUGACCUGACCUGAAUUGCAUCUUAGCACCCAAAGCAGAAAGAACGGUUGAGGGGCUCUGCUGAACCCGAGACUGCAGCACAGAAGCUCUUGUGAAAAAGGGAAAGACCAUUUCCAAUGUUUACAGACAGGCCAGGUCUCUCCAGACAAGGAAGAAGAAGAACACAGAACACUUGUUCAGAUAACUGAGCAGUUGGGGAUUCAAUGUGUGAUGUUAUUUUUAGAAGAUAGCAUUUUUUUAAUACCCUGCUACUGGUUUCUUGUAUCUUUUAGAGCACACCACGAGGAGAAGAUAAGGAAGCAUGACCUUCCAAGUGCAACACCGAAUUAGGAGGCCUUGUUUCCAGUUUGGGUCCCGAUUUUGACCUUGUCACAUCCUAGGGCUGGUUACAUAAGUCUUUCCGAGCUUUAGUUUCCCCAGUGGAGAGCAUAAUUGUUAAUUACUUUAUGGAAUUAUUUUGUCAAUUACUAACAUGUUAAUAAUCUCUGAGUCUUUGAAAUGGACAUGACACAGAACCGCAGUGGUGGCCAAUUAGUGUCACUGUUAUCGGAAAUACGUGGCGUUUUAGCACUUCAAAAAGGUUCAUGUACAGGAAAAGCUGUGGGCGAUGGGGAGUGACUAGGGUGAAACUGGAAAAAGAUGAGAGGUGAGGAGAAGGACAUUUAAUUUCAGGACCUUUUGAUGUAUUCGGGCAUGCUGCUGGAAAGGGGUGGACACUUGGCAGGAUGCAGGACAGAGACAGUGCAUGGUAAGGUGAUCACCUCCUAGACCCGGGAUCUGGCCCUCACUCCAUGUAUCACCCCUCCACCUUAUUCAUACUCAGUUGUUGUCCUAUUUGGGUAAUUUGUAUUUUGGAGCAGUGUAUUCAAAAGGCUGGCAGGGUUGACCUCUAACAGACGGGCUAUGGAUACUUGUGGGUAUAUUGAGAUAUGUGAUGUUUCUUUUGCUUAUUACACACAAAUGUAUCCAACAAAACUGUGAAAUAUCAAAUAAUGUGGCAGCACUUUUGAUGAAGAACAAGGUAGAUCAUGAUGGAUCUUCCCUAAAGACACAGGAUGAUCAGUAUGACGUUGCCUGAAGUAGUGAACUAAAUAGAGGCCCUUUAUCAAUUAGGGUCAAGAAGUCUGUUGCUCUGGUCGGGCCCUUUAAAUACUUUCUUUAUUCAUUCAACAGAUAUUUUUUGACAACAUACUGCAUUGGGUGCUGCAGGGCAUAAAAGAAUGAGUAAGACACAGUGCCUAUUGCCAAUAAGCUUAUUUAAUCUAACAGGGAAAUAACUCUGAAGUCAGGCAGUUUGUGAUAUGUGUCACGAGCAGUCAUGAGGGUGCAACAAAGGUGGCAGUGAGGAGAAUCCUUCCGGCUCGGAGAUCGGGAAUGCUUUGUGGAGGACGUGAUGACUGGGGGUCGGAGGUGGGAAGGAGGGCAGUGGUGCUUUCAAGUAGAGGAAAUGAAGAAGUCAAGUGGUGGCUGGGUGAGGCCUCCCAGAGGGCGUGCGCCUGCCAGGAGCACCUCACGGGCAUAGAGGACACUAGAGGAGGACGGUAUCAUGGGCCUGAAACCCACUGGGUGUGUUACAGAAGGGGGCCUCGGUUAGACAGGAACAAGGGAGCCCUGGGAGAAAAACCUGGUGAAGCAGAUUUGGGUCAGAGUUUAUAUUUGAAAGUCAAGCUGAGAAGCUUGCAGACAGUGGAGGGGUGAUCUCUGAGCUCAGCUGUGACAUUUGCAAGGGGCAUGUUAGGGACACGAAUCUGGCAGUGACGUAUAGGAGGAGCUGAAGGGUGAAGGAAAGCAGCAACGAGGAGGCUAUCAAAACAGUGCAAGUUAGAGGAGAGGGGAGAGAAUCGAUGAGAUAUAAAAUAAUCAGAGAGAUGGGCAAGGAUGAGAUCCGAAGGGAAAAAGGCUAACACGACUUGGGGACCAUGAACCGUGACAAGGAACCCAAGCAUCGGGGAUCAUUGAAGGGAAGGAAGAGGCAAAGGUUUCUCUAAAGGGUUGAAUGUGCACGAAGCUGGAAGGAAAGUUCGGAGACGCAGUGUCAGUCUGGUGAACGAAUAUCAGCUCAAACCAGCAGAGUCAUGGAGACCAGCCUGCCGUCAGACAGGCACCUUGACCUCUUGAGGUGUCUGAUUAAUGCACACGUGGUGUUUCUCAACGCCUCAUCUGCUCAGUGCCAUCUAAUCUCCUAGAACGUGAUCAGAUGUCGGGCUCCUGCUGUUUGAAUUUCUCUCCACUGGUUGUCUGUGUCAGCAUGGUAGCGGACGUUUGUG
rnacentral:lncRNA from 1 species